GUUAAUCGUUAUGGCACACGCUUAUAAUUUCUGCUACCAGGGAGACUGAGACAGGGAGAUCUCUUGAGCUCUGGAGCUAAAUCUGAUGAAGUCUGCACUAAAUCCAACACCAAUAUGAUGAUCCUCUAGGAGGCUUGAUCCACUAGGCUGCCUAAGGAGGGGUAAACUGGCCCAGGUUGGAAGUGGAGCAAAUCAAAGCCACUAUGCUGAUCAGUAGUGGGAUUGGUUCAUGAGUGACUGCUUUACCUCCAUCCUGGUUGAAAUGGGAAGACUCAGGCUCA
rnacentral:SRP_RNA from 1 species